rnacentral:rRNA from 1 species
UACGUAGGGUGCGAGCGUUAAUCGGAAUUACUGGGCGUAAAGCGUGCGCAGGUGGUCAUGCAAGACAGAUGUGAAAUCCCCGGGCUUAACCUGGGAACUGCAUUUGUGACUGCACGGCUAGAGUGCGGCAGAGGGGGAUGGAAUUCCGCGUGUAGCAGUGAAAUGCGUAGAUAUCAGGAGGAACACCGGUGGCGAAGGCGGAUCUCUGGGCCUUACCUGACGCUGAGGCGCGAAAGCUAGGGGAGCGAACAGG